rnacentral:rRNA from 1 species
UGAUGACCGCGUAGACUUACCAGGGCUUGACAUCCCACUAACGAAGCAGAGAUGCAUUAGGUGCCCUUCGGGGAAAGUGGAGACAGGUGGUGCAUGGUUGUCGUCAGCUCGUGUCGUGAGAUGUUGGGUUAAGUCCCGCAACGAGCGCAACCCUUAUUGUUAGUUGCUACGCAAGAGCACUCUAGCGAGACUGCCGUUGACAAAACGGAGGAAGCCCCCCGU